rnacentral:rRNA from 1 species
GUGGUUAAGUUACUAAGGGCACACGGUGGAUGCCUUGGCGCUAGGAGCCGAAGAAGGACGCAGCGAACUGCGAUAAGCCUCGGGGAGCGGUAAGCACGCUUUGAUCCGGGGAUCUCCGAAUGGGGGAACCCACCAUCUGUAAUGGGAUGGUAUCCGUAUCUGAAUCCAUAGGGUACGAGAAGGCAGACCCGGUGAACUGAAACAUCUAAGUAGCCGGAGGAAGAGAAAACAAUAGUGAUUCCGUCAGUAGCGGCGAGCGAACGCGGAAGAGCCUAAACCGUCAGGUUUACCUGGCGGGGUUGUGGGGCGUCUCACACGGAGUUACAAAAGACGCGCGUAGGUGAACAGUUUGGGAAAGCUGACCACAGAGCGUGAUAGUCGCGUAGCCUAAACGCGCGUCUCUCCGAGACCAACCCCGAGUAGUGCGGGACACGUGAAAUCCCGUAUGAAUCUGGCAGGACCAUCUGCUAAGGCUAAAUACUACCUAGCGACCGAUAGUGAACCAGUACCGUGAGGGAAAGGUGAAAAGCACCCCGGGAGGGGAGUGAAAUAGUACCUGAAACCGUGUGCUUACAAAUAGUCGGAGCCCUAUGCAGCAAACUUGUUUGCCGCACGGGUGACGGCGUGCCUUUUGUAGAAUGAACCGGCGAGUUACGGUAGCGUGCGAGGUUAAGUCGAAGAGACGGAGCCGCAGCGAAAGCGAGUCUGAAUAGGGCGCAAGUACGUUGUCGUAGACCCGAAACCGUGUGAUCUAGCCAUGUCCAGGGUGAAGGUAGGGUAACACCUACUGGAGGCCCGAACCCACGCACGUUGAAAAGUGCGGGGAUGAGGUGUGGCUAGCGGUGAAAUUCCAAUCGAACUCGGAGAUAGCUGGUUCUCCCCGAAAUAGCUUUAGGGCUAGCCUCGGAAUUAGAGUCUUGGAGGUAGAGCACUGAUUGGGCUAGGGGCCCUCAUCGGGUUACCGAACUCAGUCAAACUCCGAAUGCCAAUGACUUAUGUCCGGGAGUCAGACGGUGAGUGCUAAGAUCCAUCGUCAAAAGGGAAACAGCCCAGACCAUCAGCUAAGGUCCCCAAGUGUAUGUUAAGUGGGAAACGAUGUGGAGUUGCCCAGACAACCAGGAUGUUGGCUUAGAAGCAGCCACCAUUUAAAGAGUGCGUAAUAGCUCACUGGUCGAGUGACUCUGCGCGGAAAAUGUAACGGGGCUAAACAUACCACCGAAGCUAUGGCUUGUAGAAUCCUUACGGAUUCUACUUGGGUAGGGGAGCGUUCCAAGCAGCAGUGAAGCCGUACUGGAAAGAGCGGUGGAGCGCUUGGAAGUGAGAAUGCCGGUGUAAGUAGCGAAAAGACAAGUGAGAAUCUUGUCCACCGAAAGCCUAAGGUUUCCUGGGGAAGGCUCGUCCUCCCAGGGUUAGUCGGGACCUAAGCUGAGGCCGAAAGGCGUAGGCGAUGGACAACAGGUUGAUAUUCCUGUACCACCUCUGUUCCGCUUGAGCAAUGGCGUGACGCAGGAGGAUAGGGUGAGCGGCCUACUGGAUGGCCGUCCAAGCAGUAAGCCUGGUGUGUAGGCAAAUCCGCACACCUCAAGGGCAAGCUGUGAUGGCGAGGGAAAUUACAGUACCGAAGUCCCUGAUUUCACACUGCCAAGAAAAGCGUCUAGCGAGGAACAAGGUGCCCGUACCGCAAACCGACACAGGUAGGCGAGGAGAGAAUCCUAAGGUGCGCGGGAUAACUCUUGCUAAGGAACUCGGCAAAAUGGCCCCGUAACUUCGGGAGAAGGGGCGCCCCGGUAGGGUUUAUAGCCCGAGGGGGCCGCAGUGAAAAGGCCCAAGCGACUGUUUAGCAAAAACACAGGUCUCUGCGAAGCCGCAAGGCGAAGUAUAGGGGCUGACGCCUGCCCGGUGCUGGAAGGUUAAGGGGAUGAGUUAGCGCAAGCGAAGCUUUGAACCGAAGCCCCAGUAAACGGCGGCCGUAACUAUAACGGUCCUAAGGUAGCGAAAUUCCUUGUCGGGUAAGUUCCGACCCGCACGAAAGGCGUAACGACUUGGGCGCUGUCUCGGCAAGAGACCCGGUGAAAUCAUAAUACCUGUGAAGAUGCAGGUUACCCGCGACAAGACGGAAAGACCCCAUGGAGCUUUACUGUAGCCUGGUAUUGGAACUUUGUGCAUCAUGUACAGGAUAGGUGGGAAGCUGAGAAGCAGGGGCGCCAGCCUCUGUGGAGCUGUCGGUGGGAUACCACCCUUGAUGUACGGAGUUUCUAACUCGUCGCCCUUAUCGGGCGAGAGGACCAUGCCAGGUGGGCAGUUUGACUGGGGCGGUCGCCUCCUAAAAGGUAACGGAGGCGCCCAAAGGUUCCCUCAGAAUGGUCGGAAAUCAUUCGUAGAGUGUAAAGGCAGAAGGGAGCUUGACUGCGAGACCUACAAGUCGAGCAGGGACGAAAGUCGGGCUUAGUGAUCCGGUGGUUCCGCAUGGAAGGGCCAUCGCUCAACGGAUAAAAGCUACCCUGGGGAUAACAGGCUUAUCUCCCCCAAGAGUCCACAUCGACGGGGAGGUUUGGCACCUCGAUGUCGGCUCAUCGCAUCCUGGGGCUGAAGUAGGUCCCAAGGGUUGGGCUGUUCGCCCAUUAAAGCGGUACGCGAGCUGGGUUCAGAACGUCGUGAGACAGUUCGGUCCCUAUCUGUCGCGGGCGCAGGAAGUUUGAGGAGAGCUGUCCUUAGUACGAGAGGACCGGGAUGGACGCACCGCUGGUGCACCAGUUGUCACGCCAGUGGCACAGCUGGGUAGCUAUGUGCGGAAGGGAUAAGCGCUGAAAGCAUCUAAGCGUGAAGCCCCCUCCAAGAUGAGACUUCCCACAGCGCAAGCUGGUAAGACCCCUCAUAGACGAUGAGGUUGAUAGGUUCGGUGUGGAAGCGUGGUAACACGUGGAGCUGACGAAUACUAAUCGGUCGAGGACUUAUCCACA